rnacentral:rRNA from 1 species
GAUGGGAACUGAGACAAGUUCCCAGGCCCUACGGGGCGCAGCAGUUGCGAAAACUCUGCAAUGCACGAAAGUGUGACAGGGCUACCCCGAGUGCCGUCCGCUGAGGAUGGCUUUUCCACGCCGUAAGGAAGCGUGGGAAUAAGGAGAGGGCAAGUCUGGUGUCAGCCGCCGCGGUAAUACCAGCUCUCCGAGUGGUAGGGAUGAUUAUUGGGCUUAAAGCGUCCGUAGCCGGCUCGACAAGUCUCUCGUCAAAUCCAACGAUUCAAUCGCUGGACCGCGGGAGAUACUGUCAGGCUAGGAGGCGGGAGAGGCCGACGGUACUCUUGGGGUAGGGGUGAAAUCCUAUAAUCCCAGGAGGACCACCAGUGGCGAAGGCUGUCGGCUGGCACGCGCUCGACGGUGAGGGACGAAAGCUUGGGGAGCGAACCGGAUUAGAUACCCGGGUAGUCCAAGCUGUAAACUAUGCGGGCUGGGUGUCGGAGUGGCUACGGGCCACUUCAGUGCCGCAGGAAAGCCGUUAAGCCCGCCGCCUGGGGAGUACGGCCGCAAGGCUGAAACUUAAAGGAAUUGGCGGGGGAGCACCACAAGGGGUGAAGCUUGCGGUUCAAUUGGAGUCAACGCCGGAAACCUUACCGGGGGCGACAGCAGAAUGAUGGCCAGGUUAAUGGCCUUGCU